UCCCUGGUGGUUCAGUGGCUAAGACUUUGCAUUGCCAAUGCAAGGGACCCAGGUUCAAUCCCUGGUUGGGGAA